UGGGGAAUUUUGGACAAUGGGCGCAAGCCUGAUCCAGCAAUGCCGCGUGAGUGAAGAAGGCCUUCGGGUUGUAAAGCUCUUUUGUCAGGGAAGAAACGGUUCUGGAUAAUACCUGGAGCUAAUGACGGUACCUGAAGAAUAAGCACCGGCUAACUACGUGCCAGCAGCCGCGGUAAUACGUAGGGUGCAAGCGUUAAUCGGAAUUACUGGGCGUAAAGCGUGCGCAGGCGGUUUUGUAAGUCUGUCGUGAAAGCCCCGGGCUUAACCUGGGAAUUGCGAUGGAGACUGCAAGGCUUGAAUCUGGCAGAGGGGGGUAGAAUUCCACGUGUAGCAGUGAAAUGCGUAGAGAUGUGGAGGAACACCGAUGGCGAAGGCAGCCCCCUGGGUCAAGAUUGACGCUCAUGCACGAAAGCGUGGGGAGCAAACAGGAUUA
rnacentral:rRNA from 1 species